rnacentral:rRNA from 1 species
AGUGAACGCUGGCGGUAGGCCUAACACAUGCAAGUCGAACGGCAGCACAGUAAGAGCUUGCUCUUACGGGUGGCGAGUGGCGGACGGGUGAGGAAUACAUCGGAAUCUACUUUUUCGUGGGGGAUAACGUAGGGAAACUUACGCUAAUACCGCAUACGUCCUACGGGUGAAAGCAAGGGAUCUUCGGACUUUGCGCGAUUGAAUGAGCCGAUGUCGGAUUAGCUAGUUGGCGGGGUAAAGGCCCACCAAGGCGACGAUCCGUAGCUGGUCUGAGAGGAUGAUCAGCCACACUGGAACUGAGACACGGUCCAGACUCCUACGGGAGGCAGCAGUGGGGAAUAUUGCGCAAUGGGCGCAAGCCUGACCCAGCCAUACCGCGUGGGUGAUGAAGGUCUUCGGGUUGUAAAGCCCUUUUGUUGGGAAAGAAAAGCAGCAGGUUAAUACCCCGCUGUUCUGACGGUACCCAAAGAAUAAGCACCGGCUAACUUCGUG